GCCUCUUUUUGUUCUAUUUUCAGCUUUUUAGGCUGCAGAAUGGCAUCUGUGCGAGAGCCGUGGAACCGUCACUGGGGGUCCCCACAGCCCCUGUCGAGGGUUGGGGCAGCAGGAGAAGAAAACGUUGCAGGAUGAGGUGGCUCAAAGUCACCCCCAGACCACCCUGAAUUAACCCC